GAUGAACGCUGGCGGCGUGCUUAACACAUGCAAGUCGAACGAUGAAGCCCAGCUUGCUGGGUGGUUUCGUUGCGAACGGGUGAGUAACACGUGAGUAAACUGCCCUUAACUCUGGCAUAAGCCUGGGAAACUGGGUCUAAUACCGGCUAGGAGCUUCCACCGCAUGGUGGGUGUUGGAAAGAUUUAUCGGUUUUGGAUGGACUCGCGGCCUAUCCGCUUGUUGGUGAGGUAAUGGUUGACGAAGGCGAUGCCGGGUCGCCGGCCUGUGAGGGUGACCGGCCACACUGGGACUGAGGCACGGACCAGACGGCAACGGGAGGCAGCAGUGGGGAAUAUUACAGAAUGGGCGCAAGCCUGAGACAGCGGUGCCGCGUGAGGGAUAACGGCCUUCGGGUUGUAAACCACUUUCAAUAGAGAAGAAGCGAAAGUGACGGUACCUGCAGAAGAAGCACCGGCUAACUACGUG
rnacentral:rRNA from 1 species